AACUGCUGGGGGCGGGACGCCUCCUGGGACUCCUCCCGGCCGGCGCCCUUCCUUCCCAGGGUACCUCCCGGUGCUGGCAAUCCCAGGAAUGGGGAAGUGGGACCGGGAUGGGCGCAGAGGUUCGGGCUGUUCAGCAAGUUUGUCAAAGAUGAAAGUGACCUUAUCAGCUUUGGAUACUUUCGAGAGUUCUUUCACACCUUUGGUAGUCAUAGAGCUUGUGCAGGAUGUCAAAGAAGAAACCAAAGAAUGGCUGAAAAAUAGAAUUAUCGCUAAAAAGAAAGAUGGAGGCGCCCAGCUGUUGUUCAGACCACUGUUAAAUAAAUAUGAGAAAGAAACACUAGAAAAUCAGAACCUCUAUCUCGUUGGUGCCUCCAGGCUUAGACUGUUACUGGGGGCAGAAGCAGUGGGGUUGGUGAAGGAGUGCAACGAUAACACCAUGAGAGCCUUCACCUACGGCACCCGGCACAACUUCAAAGGGUUUGAUGAUGACAAUGAUGAUUUCCUCACAAUGGCAGAAUGUCAAUUCAUUAUCAAACAUGAACUUGAAAAUCUCAGAGCCAGAGAUGAAAAAAUGAUCCCUGGUUACCCCCAGGCGAAGCUGUACCCAGGAAAAUCAUUAUUGAGAAGAUUGCUCACGUCUGGCAUCAUAAUUCAGGUGUUCCCGCUGCAUGAUAAUGAAGCCCUGAAGAAGCUUGAGGACAGCUGGUAUACUCGGUUCACUCUGAAGUAUCAGCCUGUAGACAGUAUUCGUGGCUACUUUGGGGAAACAAUCGCUCUUUACUUUGGAUUUUUGGAAUACUUCACUUUUGCCUUAAUCCCCAUGGCGGUCAUUGGAUUACCUUACUACAUGUUUGUGUGGGAAGACUAUGACAAGUACGUGAUCUUCGCCUCCUUCAACCUGAUCUGGUCCACAGUGAUCCUGGAAGUGUGGAAGCGUGGCUGUGCCAAUAUGACCUACAGGUGGGGGACACUGGUCAUGAAGAGACAGUUUGAGGAGCCCCGGCCAGGAUUUCACGGGGUCCUGGGUAUCAAUUCCGUCACUGGCAGGGAGGAGCCUCUCUACCCCAGCUACAAGAGACAGCUGCGCAUUUACCUGGUCUCUCUGCCGUUUGUGUGCCUCUGUCUCUAUUUCUCUCUGUAUGUCAUGAUGAUCUACUUCGACAUGGAGGCCUGGGCCUUGGAGCUACACGAGGAUAGUGGGUCCGAGUGGACCAGUGUCUUGUUGUAUGUGCCCAGCAUCAUCUAUGCCAUUGUGAUUGAGAUCAUGAACCGUCUCUAUCGAUACGCUGCUGAGUUUUUAACUUCAUGGGAGAAUCACAGAUUGGAAUCUGCCUACCAGAAUCACCUAGUCCUGAAAGUUUUAGUGUUCAACUUUCUGAAUUGCUUUGCCUCACUCUUCUACAUUGCCUUUGUGCUGAGGGAUAUGAAGCUUUUGCGUCAGAGCUUGGCCACUCUCCUGAUUACCUCCCAGAUCCUUAACCAGAUUGUGGAAUCUCUUCUUCCGUAUUGGCUCCAAAGGAAGCACCACGUGCAGGUGAAGAGGAAGGUGCAGGCCUUAAAGGCAGACAUUGAUGCUACGUUAUAUGAACAAGUCGUCCUGGAAAAGGAAAUGGGAACGUAUUUGGGCACCUUUGAUGAUUACUUGGAGUUAUUCCUGCAGUUUGGUUAUGUGAGCCUUUUCUCCUGUGUUUACCCAUUAGCAGCUGCCUUUGCUGUGUUAAAUAACUUCACUGAAGUUAAUUCAGAUGCCUUAAAAAUGUGCAGAGUCUUCAAACGUCCAUUCUCGGAACCUUCAGCCAGUAUUGGUGUAUGGCAGGGAAGUAACUGGAACAUCACCCAAUGGAUGAUCACGAGGCCCUCUCCACUGCAGUGUUAGUGGAGAUCACGCAGGGAACCUGGACUUCUACUCCUACCAGACAGUAACGAGGCUUCUUUUCUAGUCCCUGCUGGGGUGAUCUCAGAGAAAGCCCAGUGGAGAGUCGGGACUUUCACCACCACCCAGCACAGUGGAAGCCACAUGAGAGCACAGAUGUGGCACUUGUACCCCUCCCAGCAAAGGAAGUAUCAGUGGUGGUCUAGUGGGAAGUCAGAACUCUGACCCCUGCACAGCAAGAAUAAAGACCCCACCUCCUACACUGGGUGUCAGUCGUGUCCAAGCGGGGAACCUGGACUUCUGCCUCCACCUAGCAGUAACAAGAUAUUGUCUCUUCUUCCCCUGCUGAAGUGGCGUCAGAGGAACCAACUAACACAUAAGCUUUAAAUAAAGUCUAGAGUCUUAUAUCACCCAAAAUGUCUAAAUUUAUGUCAAAAAUAACUCAUCCUACCAAGAACCAGGAUGAUAUCAAACUGAAUGAAAAAAGGCAAUCAGUAAAUGCCACCACCAAGAUGCCACAGACAUUAGAAAUAUCAGACAAAGAUUUUAAAGCAGCCAUGAUAAGAAUGCUUCAACAAGCAACUGUGAAGACACCUAAAACAAAUAAAAAAAUAGAAAGAUUAGAAUUUGAGCAAAGAAAUAGAAGAUAUAAAGGAGAAUCAAGUGGACAUUUUAGAAGUGGAAAAUACAGUAAGUGAAAUAGAAAGCUCAGUGGAUGGGUACAACAGUAGAAUGGAAGGGAUAGAGGAAAGAAUCAGGAACUGGAAAAUAGAACAAUAGAAAUUACCUGAUCUAAACAACAGAGAGAAAAUAGACUGAAAAAGUAAAUAUAGCCUCAGAAAUCUGUGUGACUAUAACAAAGAUCUAACAUUUCUGUCAUUGGAGUCUCAGAAGGAGAGGAAAAAGAGGGAGAGAUUGAAAAAGUACUUAAAGUGAUAAUGGCCAAAACUUUUCAGAUUUGGCAAGAGAUCUAAAACUACAGAUUCCAGAAGUUGAGUGAACUGCAAACAGGAUAAACCCAAAGAAAUCCAUGCUGAGACACAUCAUAAUUAAACAUCUGAAAGCUAAAGACAAAGAAAAAAUCUUGAAAGCACUCAUAGAGAAAUGACAUCUUGCAUAUAGGGGAAAAACAAUUAGAAUGACAGCCAGUUUCUCAUGAGAAAUCAUGGAGGCCAGAAGAAAAUGGCACAAUAUUUUUCGAAUUCUUAAAGAAAAAUCAAUAUAGAUCCUAUAUUCAGAGAAAAUAUUCUUCAAGAAUGAAGGGGAAAUCAAGAUAUUAUCAGAUGAGGGAAAACUAAGAGAAUUUAUUUCCAGCACACCUAUCCUAAAAGAAUGGCUGAAGGAAGUUCUGUCAACUAAGGAAAUGAUAAAAGAAAGAAUCUGGGAACAUUAGAAGAAAAAACAUGUUGGCUUUUGAAACAAUGAGUGUUAUAUCUGUGGUCACUAACUGUGCUCUGAUUGGAAUGUCACCACAAGUGAAUGCACUCUUUCCGGAGUCAAAAGUGGACCUCAUUUUGAUUGUAGUAGCAGCGGAG